UACGGGGGAUGCAAGCGUUAUCCGGAUUUAUUGGGUUUAAAGGGUGCGUAGGCGGGCUUUUAAGUCAGCGGUAAAAAUUCGGGGCUCAACCCCGUCCGGCCGUUGAAACUGGGGGCCUUGAGUGGGCGAGAAGAAGGCGGAAUGCGUGGUGUAGCGGUGAAAUGCAUAGAUAUCACGCAGAACCCCGAUUGCGAAGGCAGCCUUCCGGCGCCCUACUGACGCUGAGGCACGAAAGUGCGGGGAUCGAACAGG
rnacentral:rRNA from 1 species